UACGUAGGUGGCAAGCGUUGUCCGGAUUUAUUGGGCGUAAAGCGAGCGCAGGCGGUUUCUUAAGUCUGAUGUGAAAGCCCCCGGCUCAACCGGGGAGGGUCAUUGGAAACUGGGAGACUUGAGUGCAGAAGAGGAGAGUGGAAUUCCAUGUGUAGCGGUGAAAUGCGUAGAUAUAUGGAGGAACACCAGUGGCGAAGGCGGCUCUCUGGUCUGUAACUGACGCUGAGGCUCGAAAGCGUGGGUAUCAAACAGG
rnacentral:rRNA from 1 species